CCGCUAUUGACUGAAUCUGCUGAUGUGAAACUCGCAGAUACAGACGGGCAGCCUUUGGUCAGCAAAGAGUCACGUCUACCCAGCUGGAGCUCCUGAUCUACUCAGCCACAGAUACUCGUGCUGUUUCCUCAAGCUCUGUCCAUUGGGACUUCCAACCCCUUCGGGAGUCCAGAACUUCUUCAUUCUGCAAAACUGAAACUUUGUACACGUUGACCAACAUCCGUGUCCCACCUUGAAGAGACCUAUGUGUCCCUUCCUUCAGCUUCUGUCCCGAAGUUAAGUGGUUCCUACCAUGGAGAAGACCACAGAAUGUGUGCUAGGAAAUAAAGCCGGUUGAACAUAUGGAAGUACUUUAUAGGGCGGAUGCACAGGUGGAAGGAGAAACAUGACCACUUAGACCCUUGAAGAAGAGCAUGACAUGUGAAAUCAGGUACUGCACCAUUUCUCAUGUGAAAGCGCUAGGUUGGCAGCAUAUUAGCUGAAAAUUAAAAUUAAUCUGUUAUGAAUAGUUGGCCAUGAAGUUAGUUCAUUUGUAACGUGUAUUUGAUGCCUCUACUCUUUUUAAAAAUAGUUAAAAUUCAACUCAGUAGCCUCACAAGUAAAAUGUGUAGAACUAGUUCCCACUGGCUUUGUAGUGACCUAGAAAUUCUAAACCAAAUAAAGCAAAGUGGAGCAUGAAG